rnacentral:rRNA from 1 species
UACGGGGGGAGCAAGCGUUGUUCGGAUUUACUGGGCGUAAAGGGCGCGUAGGCGGGUCUGCAAGUCAGGGGUGAAAUCCUCCGGCUCAACCGGAGAAGUGCUUUUGAUACUGCAGACCUCGAGCGAGGUAGGGGCAUGUGGAACUUCCGGUGGAGCGGUGAAAUGCGUAGAUAUCGGAAGGAACGCCGGUGGCGAAAGCGACGUGCUGGACCUCUUCUGACGCUGAGGCGCGAAAGCUAGGGGAGCAAACGGG